rnacentral:rRNA from 1 species
CGCGUAGGCGGAUUGGACAGUUAGAUGUGAAAUCCCGGGGCUCAACCCCGGACCCGCAUCUAAUACUACCAGUCUAGAGGAUGGACGGAGAAAAGGGAAUUCCACGUGUAGCGGUGAAAUGCGUAGAUAUGUGGAAGAACACCAGUGGCGAAGGCGCUUUUCUAGUUUAUUCCUGACGCUGAGGCGCGAAAGCAAGGGGAGCAAACA